rnacentral:lncRNA from 1 species
UGUGGACUUCAUUUUGCAGAUGUUCAUUUUCGAUGACAGACGAUGAGAGAAUUGACCGCAAUAGAGUACAUCAAAUUAAUCACGUGGAAGUAUUAGGAUUAUUUUUAAUAUUAUAAAAGGGAUUAGCAAAAUUAGGUAAAUCAACCUCGACGUGUCGGGGCCGAGCUCUGGCAAGGCCAUAAGUGCAUGAACAAUCGCUAGAAAGUUGAAGC